ACCAUCUUAGCUCAGUGGUAGAGCGCGUGGCUUUUAACCACGUGGUCGUGGGUUCGAUCCCCACAGAUGGUG
rfam:Ipomoea nil DNA, scaffold: scaffold3245, cultivar: Tokyo-kokei standard.